UGAGCAAUCUGCCCUUCUCUUCGGAAUAAGCGUUGGAAACGACGUCUAAUGCCGAAUACGACCUCCUUUCGCAUGAUCGGAGGUGGAAAGCUCCGGCGGAGAAGGAUGAGCUCGCGGCCUAUCAGCUAGUUGGUGUGGGUAAUGGCCUACCAAGGCGACGACGGGUAGCCGGCCUGGAGGAGGGCGACCGGCCACACGUGGGACUGAGCACGGCCCAGACCUCCGUACGGGGA
rnacentral:rRNA from 1 species